CAAUAAGCGGAGGAAAAGAAACCAACUGGGAUCACUUUAGUAACGGCGAGUGAAGCGGUAAAAGCUCAAAUUUGAAAUCUGGUACUUUCAGUGCCCGAGUUGUAAUUUGUAGAAUUUGUCUUUGAUUAGGUCCUUGUCUAUGUUCCUUGGAACAGGACGUCAUAGAGGGUGAGAAUCCCGUUUGGCGAGGAUACCUUUUCUCUGUAAGACUUUUUCGAAGAGUCGAGUUGUUUGGGAAUGCAGCUCAAAGUGGGUGGUAAAUUCCAUCUAAAGCUAAAUAUUGGCGAGAGACCGAUAGCGAACAAGUACAGUGAUGGAAAGAUGAAAAGAACUUUGAAAAGAGAGUGAAAAAGUACGUGAAAUUGUUGAAAGGGAAGGGCAUUUGAUCAGACAUGGUGUUUUUUGCAUGCACUCGCCUCUCGUGGGCUUGGGCCUCUCAAAAAUUUCACUGGGCCAACAUCAAUUCUGGCAGCAGGAUAAAUCAUUAAGAAUGUAGCUACUUCGGUAGUGUUAUAGCUUUUUGGAAUACUGUUAGCCGGGAUUGAGGACUGCGCUUCGGCAAGGAUGUU
rnacentral:rRNA from 1 species